AUGCCAUGUGUUAAGCAUCAGAGUCUGUUGCCAUUGGGCUUCACUUCCUCUCAUCGUACUCUACAAGGCGUUAACGAGAUAAAAAAAUGCAGAGAUCGUACCUACGAAGACGCUCUCAUCAGCCGCGAGUUUAGUAAUGAAAGACAAUCAUUGCGAACUGGUUUGAACUCGGUUGGUCUGGACUGUGAAUACAUAGCACAACAUUGGAUUUGUCUUAUUGAUGCAGCAACUUAUGCACUGUUAUGGUUGGCUAUUUUUUGGGCAGCUGGAAGUACAAGAGCUUAUAGAUGA